rnacentral:lncRNA from 10 species
UAACCACUUCUUAAUACCCUGACCAUUGCCAUCUCUUGCUUGAACUAUUGCAGUGGCUCCCUAACUACUCUCCCUGCUUCCACUCUUGCCCCUUCCUCUAGGCUGUCCUCCACCAGCAGCCAAAGUGAGCCUUUUAAGACAUGUGUUUGGGCUGGGCGCAGUGGCUCACGCUUGUAAUCCCAGCACUUUGGGAGGCCGAGGCGGGCAGAUCACCUGAGGUCAGGAGUUCCAGAUGAGCCUGACCAACAUGGCGAAACCCCGUCUCUACUAAAGAUACAAAAUUAGCCGGGUGUGGUGGCACGUGUCUGUAAUCCCAGCUACUCAGGAGGCUGAGGAAGGAGAAUCGCUUGAACCCGGGAGGCGGAGGUUGCAGUGAGCCAAGAUUGCGCCAUUGCACUCCAGCCUGGGCAACAAGAGCAAAACUCCUUCUCAAAAAAAAAAAGACAUGUGUUUACUGACCUCACCCCCUGCUCAAUAUCCCCAGUGGCUCUCAUCUCACUAUAGGAUCCGAAGGCCUGGCGGGGCUAUAGUAUCAUUCAUGAUUUGCCCCCUGCUCCCUCUACUCUUCUCCCUUCUUCCUUCCCUCACUCACUCUUCCCCAGACACACUGGUCUCUUUCCUUGCUCCUCGUUAAACCCAAAGGCACUGCUGCCUCAGGACCAUUGCACAAGCAGUUCCUUCCCUUUACUCAGAUUUCUGCUCAAAUAUCCUCACCUCCAAGGUCCUUCUCUUCCCCCCUACUU